rnacentral:rRNA from 1 species
AUGAACGCUGGCGGCGUGCCUAAUCCCUGCCAGUCGAGCGAACGGACGAGAAGCUUGCUUCUCUGAUGUUAGCGGCGGACGGGUGAGUAACACGUGGAUAACCUACCUAUAAGACUGGGAUAACUUCGGGAAACCGGAGCUAAUACCGGAUGAUAUUUUGAACCGCAUGGUUCAAAAGUGAAAGACGGUCUUGCUGUCACUUAUAGAUGGAUCCGCGCUGCAUUAGCUAGUUGGUAAGGUAACGGCUUACCAAGGCAACGAUGCAUAGCCGACCUGAGAGGGUGAUCGGCCACACUGGAACUGAGACACGGUCCAGACUCCUACGGGAGGCAGCAGUAGGGAAUCUUCCGCAAUGGGCGAAAGCCUGACGGAGCAACGCCGCGUGAGUGAUGAAGGUCUUCGGAUCGUAAAACUCUGUUAUUAGGGAAGAACAUAUGUGUAAGUAACUGUGCACAUCUUGACGGUACCUAAUCAGAAAGCCACGGCUAACUACGUG